UCACUCAAUAUUUUUUAUUAUUAUUCUAUUGAUGAAUACUUUUUUCUAUUGUGGUGCGGGAGAACUGGUAAUGGAACAAAAGUCAUCUACUUUGAAAUGACAUAGACAUUAAUAUGUUCUGACACAUGUAUUUAUCAAGUGCAACGCAGUACAUCGUGGUAUGUGCAAUCUUGAAUGGUACAAAUUGGAAUCUAGAAAGGCGAGAAAUCUUAUCUUAUUAAUGAUACGAGCCAACCAUCCUUUUCCCAUCUCUGCAGGAAAGAUUAUUCCAUUAACAAUGGCUACUUUUUGCAGCAUAUUGAAAACAUCGUGUGGCUAUAUAUCUUUCUUACUAACAAAACAUGGUUGAAGAUCGUGAUGAUAUAUGAUUUAAUAUUUAUUUACGAAAGUAGUGGAUGUGUUUGCAGUUAAAUAAUUGCGAGUAUAUAGAACCCUAUUAAAAAUACAAUUACGUCAUUUUUUAUAUCGAAGUAAACGCAUACACAAUAAAGCAAUACAAAAAAACUUUUUAGAUAAUCAACUGAGGAUGAAAGCGGCACACGUUUAAUACUUAGGCUGAAGACCGCGAUAAUACAUUAAUAUUUAUUAUUUACGAAAGAAAUGAAUACGUUUGCCAAUUAUAUAAUUACAAGUUCUAGACAAUUAAUUGUUACGAUAGAAAUAAACUUUAUGUUUUAUGUGUUUGCUAUCGAUUGGAAAUUAUAUUAUUAAAUAUUUUGUGACAUGGCGAU